GAUGAACGCUGGCGGCGUGCCUAACACAUGCAAGUCGAACGGAGAUUACGGACGGAAGUUUUCGGAUGGAAGCCUGUAAUUCUUAGUGGCGGACGGGUGAGUAACGCGUGGGCAACCUGCACUAUACAGGGGGAUAGCAGCUGGAAACGGCUGGUAAGACCGCAUAAGUCGGUUAAAUCGCAUGAUUUGAUCGGGAAAUGAGCAAUCAGGUAUAGGAUGGGCCCGCGUCCGAUUAGCCAGUUGGCAGGGUAAAAGCCUACCAAAGCGACGAUCGGUAGCCGGACUGAGAGGUCGGACGGCCACAUUGGGACUGAGACACGGCCCAAACUCCUACGGGAGGCAGCAGUGGGGGAUAUUGCACAAUGGAGGAAACUCUGAUGCAGCGACGCCGCGUGAGUGAAGAAGUAUUUCGGUAUGUAAAGCUCUAUCAGCAGGGAAGAUGAUGACGGUACCUGACUAAGAAGCCCCGGCUAACUACGUG
rnacentral:rRNA from 1 species